rnacentral:lncRNA from 1 species
AUAGGCAGACAAGGGCUUUUUUGCUAUGUUUUGCUCCUGGUGUGUUAAUCCUCUCCUGCUCACUGUGCUGCUCAGUCAGUGGGGCUGAUGGGUAUAUUUUUACUAACCUGCAGGCAUACCUGUCCUUAUUGUGCCAGCUUAUUGCUUAAGGUAUUUUUGGUAUCAAAAGUGGAACACUGGUACAAAAAGCUGAUUUUAAUGUCUCCCUUAUGUUAAGGAGCCAUUCCUGCUGAACACCACAGAGAUCUGUGCACAUAAUCCCCCCAAAUAGGGGCGAACAACAGCCUCGAGUCUCCUGCUUGUGUGUUAGUUUGCUGUACAGUACCCAAAAUACAUAGAAGAGAACAACACAAAUAUUCUUACAGGUGUGACAACAAAAGAACAGAAAAAGAAAGAAAUCCCUCAAAAAGAAAGAGAAAAAGAAGGGAAAAAAAAAAAAAAAGCAACAGCAAAGAAGGAAGACUCAGAUAUUCUGUCAGCAGAAACCUGAAUGCUGCAGCAGGAUGCAUGAUUGCUGAUGUCCAGAAUAUCCAAUGUGAUAUAUGACUUGAAGAGGAGCCACAUUUCUUCUGGAAAAGAAAUGAAAUAAAAGG